CAGCAGCCACGGUAAUACAGAGGGUGCAAGCGUUAAUCGGAAUUACUGGGCGUAAAGCGCGCGUAGGUGGUUUGUUAAGUUGGAUGUGAAAGCCCCGGGCUCAACCUGGGAACUGCAUCCAAAACUGGCAAGCUAGAGUACGGUAGAGGGUGGUGGAAUUUCCUGUGUAGCGGUGAAAUGCGUAGAUAUAGGAAGGAACACCAGUGGCGAAGGCGACCACCUGGACUGAUACUGACACUGAGGUGCGAAAGCGUGGGGAGCAAACAGGAUUAGAUACCCCGGUAGUCCCUGUCUCUUAUAA
rnacentral:rRNA from 1 species